rnacentral:rRNA from 1 species
AGUGAACGCUGGCGGUAGGCCUAACACAUGCAAGUCGAACGGCAGCACAGAGGAGCUUGCUCCUUGGGUGGCGGGUGGCGGACGGGUGAGGAAUACAUCGGAAUCUACUCUGUCGUGGGGGAUAACGUAGGGAAACUUACGCUAAUACCGCAUACGACCUACGGGCGAAAGCAGGGGACCUUCGGGCCUUGCGCGAUUGAAUGAGCCGAUGUCGGAUUAGCUAGUUGGCGGGGUAAAGGCCCACCAAGGCGACGAUCCGUAGCUGGUCUGAGGGGAUGAGCAGCCACACUGGAACUGAGACACGGUCCAGACUCCUACGGGAGGCAGCAGUGGGGAAUAUUGGACAAUGAGCGCAAGCCUGAUCCAGCCAUACCGCGUGGGUGAGGAAGGCCUUCGGGUUGUAAAGCCCUUUUGUUGGGAAAGAAAUCCAGCUGGCUAAUACCCGGUUGGGAUGACGGUACCCAAAGAAUAAGCACCGGCUAACUUCGUGCCAGCCGCCGCCGUAA